rnacentral:misc_RNA from 1 species
UUUCCGUAGGUGAACCUGCGGAAGGAUCAUUACCGAGUGAGGGUCUCUCAGGCCCGACCUCCCACCCUGUGUGUCGCGGACCUUGUGGCGUUGGCGGGGGCGCCUCGACGAGAGGCCCCCGGAAGCCCACCCCCUUGGGCCCGUGCGCCCCCAUAGCCCCCCUUAAUUCUGAAUAGACCUGUCGGCUUAGCCAAAAAAAAAAAAAAAAAACUUUCAACAACGGAACUCUUGGUUCUG